rnacentral:rRNA from 1 species
CUACGUGCCAGCAGCCGCGGUAAUACGGAAGGUCCAGGCGUUAUCCGGAUUUAUUGGGUUUAAAGGGAGCGUAGGCCGCCUCUUAAGCGUGUUGUGAAAUGCGGGUGCUCAACAUCCGACUUGCAGCGCGAACUGGGGGGCUUGAGUGCGCCGAAAGUAGGCGGAAUUCGUGGUGUAGCGGUGAAAUGCUUAGAUAUCACGAAGAACUCCGAUUGCGAAGGCAGCUUACUGUAGCGCAACUGACGCUGAUGCUCGAAAGCGUGGGUAUCGAACAGGAUUAGAUACCCUGGUAGUCCACGCGGUAAACGAUGGAUGCUCGUUGUUGGCCAAAUAGGUCAGUGACCAAGCGAAAGCGUUAAGCAUCCCACCUGGGGAGUACGCCGGCAACGGUGAAACUCAAAGGAAUUGACGGGGGCCCGCACAAGCGGAGGAACAUGUGGUUUAAUUCGAUGAUACGCGAGGAACCUUACCCGGGCUUGACAUCCCUCUGACCGCUCUAGAGAUAGAGCUUUC